rnacentral:lncRNA from 1 species
CUGACCUGGGGAUUUUCUACAGCGACCUUGUUUACUUGACUGACUCCUCUUGUUAUCAGAGGUCUCUGGAUAUUGAAGCAAUUAAGAGCUACAGAAAACAACUGUGGACUUCUCAGUGCCUUUCCAGGCCCGGCUGGUAUGAAGACUGAGCCUAACACCUUUGCAAAGUGGCAUUUGAGUGAUUUAUAAUGAAGACAAACCUAAGGUAGGAGUUUUUUCCUUGUUUUCCUUACUCAGUUCUUCCUGUGUAAAAAAAAUAAAAUAAAAUAAAAUGGCGUGUUUCCUAAUGAUACUAACUUAAGAGGGAGUGAUUUCUAGCAUAUUGCACACAUGGGU